CGGCAGCUGGAGAUUUUGGUCUCGCUUCGCUGAGAGCAUCGACGAGAGCCCUCAUUCCUGAACGACUGCUACGUCCGCCGCUGCUUCUUAUCGAGCGUGAUGCUGUCAACAACAUUGAUCAAGAGAAAAAACGUUUCUACGAAUGCCGUCAAACUCACAGCUGGGUCUAUGAAAGUGUGGACUGGUCGGUGGUUUGUCGUAAGGUUGAAUCGGACGUCGAAGAUAUCCUUGACUAGGUGUCUCGGUAAGAUAAGAGUAAGUGUAAAUUCUCGAUACGUCCUCGGCUCCUCCGCGUCCAUAUUCCCGUAAAAUCAAUCCGGGGCUUCCGGUUCUGGCUGGAUAAUACUGAGAAAAAUAAAUCGUUUCGUUUGCACCGAUCAGUUCGCAGGCGAAAAGUCAUCAUAACGGACGGACUCGAAGAUAAAAACUGACUAUGAGAGUAUCAGGGGGUCGGAUAAACGGAAAUAAUAUGUUGUUUGCAAAUAAAAUGAAAAUGGAUGAAGAGAAAGCAGCAGAAGUAAAAUAAAAGGUCUUAUAAUGGCAUACCUUGCGACUGAGGCUGCUGUAAGGACUGCAUAUCGAUCCGUUCAGGCUUGGAGUGCGUGAUCGCAUCGAAAACUACACGCAAAUAUCGUGCGACAAAUAAAAUAAAAUAAAUUUACGAACGAAAACAAAAAAACAUAUACACACGUUCAUAUGUAUAUAUACAGAUUAAUUAACCAAGCAUCAACUAAGUAAAAACAAAUGAUGGAGGUUUAAAUAGGGAUUAAAAAAGUAACAUUCAGCGGUAAUUUACGUGGAGCUUUGACGAGCGUGGUGUGGAAGAGCGAAGCAGGAUUGGACUGUGAUUUUUUCGACGUGGGAUCCUCCAUCUUCGACACUCUCUAAACUAUUAUGUAUACGUAUUUAUAUACAAUUCACUUAUAUUAACGAUCACAUUAGCGUGCACUCAAGAGGCGUAAAUAAAAAUGUGUGAAACGUC